rnacentral:rRNA from 1 species
GACGAACCGUGCGAACGUUGUUCGGAUUCACUGGGCUUAAAGGGUGCGUAGGCGGGUCUUUAAGUCAGGGGUGAAAUCCUGGAGCUCAACUCCAGAACUGCCUUUGAUACUGAGGAUCUUGAGUUCGGAGAGGUGAGUGGAACUGCGAGUGUAGAGGUGAAAUUCGAUUAGAUAUUCGCAAGAACACCAGUGGCGAAGGCGGCUCACUGGCCCGAUACUGACGCUGAGGCACGAAAGCGUGGGGAGCAAACAGG